rnacentral:rRNA from 1 species
AACGAACGCUGGCGGCGUGCUUAACACAUGCAAGUCGAACGCGAAAGGGACUUCGGUCCCGAGUAGAGUGGCGCACGGGUGAGUAACGCGUAAGUAAUCUACCCCCGCAUUCGGAAUAACUCGUCGAAAGGUGAGCUAAUACCGGAUACGUUUAUCUUGAUGCGAAUGAUGAUAAAGAAAGGUGGCCUCUUCAUGAAAGUUACUGUGCAGGGAUGAGCUUGCGUACCAUUAGCUAGUUGGUAGGGUAAUGGCCUACCAAGGCGACGAUGGUUAGCGGGCCUGAGAGGAUGAUCCGCCACACUGGAACUGGAACACGGACCAGACUCCUACGGGAGGCAGCAAUGAGGAAUAUUGCGCAAUGGGGGCAACCCUGACGCAGCGACGCCGCGUGGAUGAUGAAGGCCCUUGGGUCGUAAAAUCCUGUCAGAUGGAAAGAAAUGUAUGGGUGUUAAUAUCGCCUGUAUUUGACGGUACCAUCAAAGGAAGCACCGGCUAACUCCGUGCCAGCAGCCGCCGUAAUAC